rnacentral:rRNA from 1 species
GAUGAACGCUGGCGGCGUGCCUAAUACAUGCAAGUCGAGCGAACAGACGAGGAGCUUGCUCCUCUCACGUUAGCGGCGGACGGGUGUGUAACACGUGGAUAACCUACUUAUAUGACUGGGAUAACUUCGGGAAACCGGAGCUAAUACCGGAUAAUAUAUUGAACCGCAUGGUUCAAUAGUGAAAGACGGUUGUGCUGUCACUUAUAGAUGGAUAUGCGCCGCUUUAGCUAGUUGGUAGGGUAACGGCUUACCAAGGCAACGAUGCGUAGCCGACCUGAGUGGGUGAUAGGCGACACUGGAACUGAAACACGGACCAGACUCCUACGGGAGGCAGCAGUCGGGAAUGUUCCGCAAUGGGCGAGAGCUUGACGGAGCAGCGCCGCGUGAGUGAUGAAGGUGUUCGGAUCGUAAAACUCUGUUUUGAGGUAAGAACCAAUGUGUACGUAAAUAUGCAGGGCUUGACGGUACCUGAUCAGGAAGCACCGGCUAACUACGUG